rnacentral:tRNA from 2 species
GGGAGGCUAGCUCAGUGGCAGAGCGCCUGCUUUACACGCAGGUGGUCGGGGGUUCGAUCCCCUCGCCUCCCACCA